rnacentral:rRNA from 1 species
UGGGGAAUAUUGGACAAUGGGCGAAAGCCUGAUCCAGCCAUGCCGCGUGUGUGAAGAAGGUCUUCGGAUUGUAAAGCACUUUAAGUUGGGAGGAAGGGCAGUUACCUAAUACGUAUCUGUUUUGACGUUACCGACAGAAUAAGCACCGGCUAACUCUGUGCCAGCAGCCGCGGUAAUACAGAGGGUGCAAGCGUUAAUCGGAAUUACUGGGCGUAAAGCGCGCGUAGGUGGUUUGUUAAGUUGGAUGUGAAAUCCCCGGGCUCAACCUGGGAACUGCAUUCAAAACUGACAAGCUAGAGUAUGGUAGAGGGUGGUGGAAUUUCCUGUGUAGCGGUGAAAUGCGUAGAUAUAGGAAGGAACACCAGUGGCGAAGGCGACCACCUGGACUGAUACUGACACUGAGGUGCGAAAGCGUGGGGAACAAACAGGAUUAGAUACCCCAGUAGUCCCUGAGCGGGCUGGCAAGGCGCAU